GGGCGGAUAGCUCAGCUGGGAGAGCGCCGGCCUUACAAGCCGGAGGUCGUAGGUUCGAAACCUGCUCCGCCUA
rnacentral:tRNA from 1 species